CCUAGCACCUUGAAUACUAAAAAUUUCUCCAAGUCUGUUGCAUAUCUUCUCUCUCUUCCCUUCCAUUAACCCUCAUCGCUUUUCUCAAAUUUCUCCAAAUCCUUCUCUUUUUAGUUCGUACCUCUGAUUUGGUGAAGAUCCAUCCAAAAUCAGCUGCUUUAGUAUCCUCUGUCCCAACUGCAUCGAUGUGUCACACGAUUGUUUUGGGUCAGAUUCAGGAUUGCAUCAAUCUGGGAACUUUGGUCUGAGGGGCGGUGGUUGAUUGUUGGGCUAAGUUCCAUUCACUGUAUGAGAAUAUAGCUUGGGUGAGCGUUUCUAUUGGUUGGAUCUGGUCCGUUUUUCUUACUUCUUCUUCUUCAUUUCUUCUGGUUUUGGUAAUUGUUUCUUGGGCUAUAUUAUAUUCACGUUCGUAUCUUCUGAUUUUGGCGAAAUUGCGACUAGUGAUUGGUUUUCGUGUGGAUUGUGCAGAAAACUAAUAACAAUUAUGUAACGAGCAAGAGGAUGGUCUGAAGAAGAAGGACGAAAGCAUCUCGAGGGUACUUGCUGAUAAUUAAUUGGAAGGAACACAACAAGUAUCAUCACAUGGUUGUACACUAUAUAUAGUGAUGAUGAGAACUAAUUUCUUAAAGAUGCAAACCAAGAACUCAAGACUUCAUCCUCUCCAUCUUAGAACUACUUUUUUUUAUCUUGUUGUUUGGCAUCUUUUGGUUUUAGGAUUUGGUUGGGUUAUGGAUUU